UACCUGAUUUUUGUCCAUUGCUUGUGUGUGUACAAACCAACUAGUUAAUGUGUUCAGUUGUGAAUAAAAUGGAGAAAAAACGCGUGACUAAAAUAUCAUGUGGCCCCGACUUGCCACAUGAUCUUACAUGUCCUGCUAAAAAUACCCGUUGGCCUUCUUUUAUGGGACGAACACCUACCCCGAUGUACGACACAAUAUCCGCCAAACAAAUCUUCAUUUUACUACUGUAUUUUUUUAGGAAAUAGAAGAAUCUGGACCAGCCAUCUCCUUGGUGCAUAGUUUUUAACAAAGAACAACUAAAACUGUUAGAGUACGCUGAAAAUCUCAAGUAUUAUUACAAAGCUGGCUAUGGCAACGACAUCAAUAGACAAAUAGGAUGCCCACCUCUUAAAGAUGUCUACGAAAAAUUCGAACGAACCGUUAAUGGUGGCGGAUCCAACGUUCAAAACAAAGUUACAGUAUUCUUCACAGAUUCUAUUACAAUACAAACGUUUUUGUCUGCAAUGGGAAUAGGUAAAGACAACCAACCUCCUACAGCUGAUAACUACUUUCAACAACAGCAGCGUCAGUGGCGUACAUCAACCCUCGACCCCUUUGCUUCGAAUGUAGCAGCUGCCUUAUGUCAGUAUGUUGGACCUACAGCUAGACAAAUUUAAACUCGAAUUUUUCGUUAUAUUCUAGAUGUCGCGGCAAUGAACGUUUCCGCGUUAUGUUUUUCCUCAACGAGGUUCCAGUGAACUACCCAGAUUGUUCCGUGUAACUUAGAAAUUUGCGAUCCCAGUGCGUCAGGAAAUUUUCAACGUAAAUUAGUACAAAGUUACUGAAAUUGAUCUUUGUUGUUUAUUUUUAUAUUUUAUCGUUGAUAUCGUACUGUACAAAACUUGACUGACAGAACCCCCAUGUGUUUUUGUCUUUUUGUAUUGAUGCACCCGUGCCAGUUGUGUUAGUGAUGCGGUUUCUGAUUGCUAGCUGUAAAAGUGAUGAUUUUAAUAAAAUUUUGAUGACGUUUUU